rfam:Acidobacteria bacterium RBG_16_68_9 RBG_16_scaffold_18847, whole genome shotgun sequence.
GCCCAGGUAGCUCAGUCGGAUAGAGCACGUCCUUGGUAAGGACGAGGUCGGCGGUUCGAUUCCGCUCCUGGGCU